AGUGAACGCUGGCGGUAGGCCUAACACAUGCAAGUCGAACGGCAGCACAGUAAGAGCUUGCUCUUACGGGUGGCGAGUGGCGGACGGGUGAGGAAUACAUCGGAAUCUACUUUUUCGUGGGGGAUAACGUAGGGAAACUUACGCUAAUACCGCAUACGACCUACGGGUGAAAGCAGGGGAUCUUCGGACCUUGCGCGAUUGAAUGAGUCGAUGUCGGAUUAGCUAGUUGGCGGGGUAAAGGCCCACCAAGGCGACGAUCCGUAGCCGGUCUGAGAGGAUGAUCAGCCACACUGGAACUGAGACACGGUCCAGACUCCUACGGGAGGCAGCAGUGGGGAAUAUUGGACAAUGGGCGCAAGCCUGAUCCAGCCAUACCGCGUGGGUGAAGAAGGCCUUCGGGUUGUAAAGCCCUUUUGUUGGGAAAGAAAAGCAGCAGGUUAAUACCCCGCUGUUCUGACGGUACCCAAAGAAUAAGCACCGGCUAACUUCGUG
rnacentral:rRNA from 1 species